UACGUGAGAAGAACGAGUAAGAAGACGAUUCAAUUCAGAAAGACGAUUUGAACUCCGACUGUGACCCUGCCAGCACAGAUCGUGGACGGAGCUUUCACCUGCAUUCAUCUACUCUUCGUCAAUUUAUCAAGUUGCUGGGGAUGAAGUCACUGUAGGAGGUUGGAUGAUCAGUGUGGAAAACAACGUAAUCUGUGAAGGCAUCCAACAGACCUUCAUCACUGGCCUGGCUGCAGUUUUUGCCACCUACUAUGUCUUUAAUUUGCAGUACCAAGAAGAAGCUGCAAGGACAUUGGAGUUUGUUCAAAGACGCUUUGUUGGUGUGAACCCCGAGAGAGGAACAAAAGCUUGCCAGGCAAAGGUGGUGUCCAAGAAGACGGGGAAGCUUGUCCAGAGAAAGGCAACCACUGUUAAUUUGCAUGUUGCCACCCUCUUAAAAAACAUCAUAGACUUCGAGUGGGGCUUUAUUUAAUCAGGUGAAGUCGGAGCAUUGUGCUGUCCAAGUAUGUUUACAUGAAGUUCUA